rnacentral:rRNA from 1 species
GAAUAUUGGACAAUGGGCGAAAGCCUGAUCCAGCAAUGCCGCGUGAGUGAAGAAGGCCUUCGGGUUGUAAAGCUCUUUUACCCGGGAAGAUAAUGACUGUACCGGGAGAAUAAGCCCCGGCUAACUCCGUGCCAGCAGCCGCGGUAAUACGGAGGGGGCUAGCGUUGUUCGGAAUUACUGGGCGUAAAGCGCACGUAGGCGGCUUUACAAGUCAGGGGCGAAAGCCCGCGGCUCAACCGCGGAAUUGCCCUUGAGACUGUAUCGCUUGAACACGGGAGAGGUGAGUGGAAUUCCGAGUGUAGAGGUGAAAUUCGUAGAUAUUCGGAAGAACACCAGUGGCGAAGGCGGCUCACUGGACCGUAGUUGACGCUGAGGUGCGAAAGCGUGGGGAGCAAACAGG